GUGGGGAAUAUUGGGCAAUGGGGGAAACCCUGACCCAGCAACGCCGCGUGAAGGAAGAAGGCUUUCGGGUUGUAAACUUCUUUUACCAGGGAAAAACACAAUGAUGGUACCUGGAGAAAAAGCUACGGCUAACUACGUGCCAGCAGCCGCGGUAAUACGUAGGUGGCAAGCGUUGUCCGGAAUUACUGGGUGUAAAGGGCGUGUAGGCGGAACUACAAGUCAGGGGUGAAAACUAUGGGCUUAACCCAUAGCCUACCUUUGAAACUGUAGUCCUUGAGUGCUGGAGAGGCAAUUGGAAUUCCUAGUGUAGCGGUGAAAUGCGUAGAUAUUAGGAGGAACACCAGUGGCGAAGGCGAAUUGCUGGACAGUAACUGACGCUGAGGCGCGAAAGCGUGGGGAGCAAACAGGAUUAGAAACCCCUGUAGUCC
rnacentral:rRNA from 1 species